rnacentral:rRNA from 1 species
CUUAACACAUGCAAGUCGAGGGGCAGCAUGGUCUUAGCUUGCUAAGGCCGAUGGCGACCGGCGCACGGGUGAGUAACACGUAUCCAACCUGCCGUCUACUCUUGGACAGCCUUCUGAAAGGAAGAUUAAUACAAGAUGGCAUCAUGAGUCCGCAUGUUCACAUGAUUAAAGGUAUUCCGGUAGACGAUGGGGAUGCGUUCCAUUAGAUAGUAGGCGGGGUAACGGCCCACCUAGUCUUCGAUGGAUAGGGGUUCUGAGAGGAAGGUCCCCCACAUUGGAACUGAGACACGGUCCAAACUCCUACGGGAGGCAGCAGUGAGGAAUAUUGGUCAAUGGGCGAGAGCCUGAACCAGCCAAGUGGCGUGAAGGAUGACUGCCCUAUGGGUUGUAAACUUCUUUUAUAAAGGAAUAAAGUCGGGUAUGGAUACCCGUUUGCAUGUACUUUAUGAAUAAGGAUCGGCUAACUCCGUGCCAGCAGCCGCGGUAAUACGGAGGAUCCGAGCGUUAUCCGGAUUUAUUGGGUUUAAAGGGAGCGUAGAUGGAUGUUUAAGUCAGUUGUGAAAGUUUGCGGCUCAACCGUAAAAUUGCAGUUGAUACUGGAUAUCUUGAGUGCAGUUGAGGCAGGCGGAAUUCGUGGUGUAGCGGUGAAAUGCUUAGAUAUCACGAAGAACUCCGAUUGCGAAGGCAGCCUGCUAAGCUGCAACUGACAUUGAGGCUCGAAAGUGUGGGUAUCAAACAGG